GACGAACCGUGCGACCGUUGUUCGGAAUCACUGGGCUUAAAGGGCGCGUAGGCGGCUUGCCAAGUCAGGGGUGAAAUCUUUCGGCUCAACCGGAAAAGUGCCUUUGAUACUGGCGAGCUCGAGGGAGGUAGGGGUAUGUGGAACUUCCGGUGGAGCGGUGAAAUGCGUUGAUAUCGGAAGGAACGCCGGUGGCGAAAGCGACGUACUGGACCUCUUCUGACGCUGAGGCGCGAAAGCUAGGGGAGCAAACGGG
rnacentral:rRNA from 1 species